AAAUUGCUGGAAUCUGAGUAUGGACUAUCUUGAGAGUGAUAAUCCCUUAAGAGCUUCAGUAUUAGAGGGGCCUGCCACAUUCACGGCCUUUAUCUGCAGUUAUCUCACCAGAUACUCACAGUGAAGCUGCCCUUGUAGCUCUGGCUGGGGCGGAGGAAGAGCAAUCCUUGUGAAUUACCUCCAGAGUAUGCUCUGUAAAACAGGUUUGUUUUUCCAGGAGAAAAGACACUAACAGCGUCUUCUAAUGUCCAUGAGGUAAAAGAACUGAUGGCUGGAGAGAAUUGAAACAGAGAGAUGAAAAUUAAAGAAGAAAUAAAAAUAAAAUUAAAAAGGGAAAAACAA
rnacentral:lncRNA from 1 species